UUGUUUUUUGUUUUCAAAGGGUACAGCCACAUCCAGACAUCGCAACGACGAUGAAUGGGAAAAGAAAUCACAACUAGAUGCCAACGGACAACUAGGAAAAACUCAACGUUUACCAACACCAACGGAGAGGUAACCAGACAUUGAUGAAUGACUGGAAAAGAUGCAACCAUACGUCAACGGACGAAAUGGGAAAAACUCAACGUUUACCAAGACCAAC
rnacentral:lncRNA from 1 species